rnacentral:rRNA from 1 species
UCCUGUAAUGGUUUUUUGUUUAAAUGUUUUUUCGCCUAGGGAUGGGUCUGCGGCCGAUUAGGUAGUUGGUUAGGUAAUGGCUUACCAAGCCGUUGAUCGGUACGGGUUGUGAGAGCAAGAGCCCGGAGAUGGAACCUGAGACAAGGUUCCAGGCCCUACGGGGUGCAGCAGGCGCGAAACCUCCGCAAUGUGAGAAAUCGCGACGGGGGGAUCCCAAGUGCCAUUCUUAACGGGAUGGCUUUUCAUUAGUGUAAAGAGCUCUUGGAAUAAGAGCUGGGCAAGACCGGUGCCAGCCGCCGCGGUAACACCGGCAGCUCUAGUGGUAGCAAUUUUUAUUGGGCCUAAAGCGUCCGUAGCCGGUUUAAUAAGUCUCUGGUGAAAUCCUGUAGCUUAACUGUGGGAAUUGCUGGAGAUACUAUUAGACUUGAGACCGGGAGAGGUUGGAGGUACUCCCAGGGUAGAGGUGAAAUUCUGUAAUCCUGGGAGGACCGCCUGUUGCGAAGGCGUCUAACUGGAACGGUUCUGACGGUGAGGGACGAAAGUUAGGGGCGCGAACCGGAUUAGAUACCCGGGUAGUCCUAACUGUAAACGAUGCGGACUUGGUGUUGGGGUGGCUUUGAGCUGCUCCAGUGCCGAAGGGAAGCUGUUAAGUCCGCCGCCUGGGAAGUACGGUCGCAAGACUGAAACUUAA